rnacentral:lncRNA from 1 species
ACAUUGAUAUCUAAAUUAUCUUCUUAGAAUUUUUUUAAACAAAUGAAACCAACGCAUUCCUUUUAGAGAACUGAUUCCUAAACUGGGAAGGAAAGUAUAUAUGUACCAAAAAUGUCUGGCUCUGCCAUAAAGUACUCAAAGUAUGUUGGGGAAAUAUCCAAUGAACAGCCAGAUACAGAGACAAGUUGAGCAUCAUAAUAAUGAACUGUAUAACCACAGGCCCAUAUAGAUACGACUCCUUACAAUAGGAUGUCUGAUGUGUGACAACGUGGAUGCUGCACUUAGAAAAACACCAGCUGCAGGUACCAUGCUAGCUAAUUGGAGGGAGAAUCAUCAGUGAAUGCCGAAACGACUAGGGGGAAGCUCGAUGAGAAAUGGGGUGACUGCAUGGUUUCAUUGUAGAAAAAGUAACCCACAAAGAGAGAAAACUGUCAAUAUACACUGGAAAAUCCGGUACAUACCACUUACAUUAAGUUGAUCAAAGUUAACAUCACCAGUCUUGGACAACUACCGUUUACCACCUGAAGAGGGCACACAGUUGUUGGUCAUACUGGAGAUGCAUAGCCUGAAUAUAAUAACAAAAUGACAGCCACGUCCCAGUUGAGAGGCUUGUACAAACAGCCUGUGUGCUUCAAAAGUGACUAGAUGAGGUACAAGGACCAAGGAAUUGUCCCUGACUAUAGGGGAGAGCAGAAGCAUGACACCUGAACACAGCACUGCUCUAGAUUGGACCCUGGAUCAGUAAGGAGAUGUAGACUGGUGCUACAAAGUACAUUUUAGCACAAAAGGAAAAGGUUGGGUAAGGUCUAUACUUUAGAAAAUUGCAUCUUAAUUUCUUAAGUUGGUUUUGAGCCGUGGUAAUUGAAAAGAAUUUAUGUAAAAUAGUACACAUAAUGAUUUAGCCAUAAAAGGGCAUCAUGCCAGCAGUGUAAAUGGUUCAGGAGACGACUAUGUGUGUAUUGGGGGGAGGGGGAGCUAGAGUUGUAUAUAGAAAGAUGAAAGUGAUAAGUCAUGACAUAAUAGUUCAAUCCUGAUUACCUUGAUUGGAUUCUGGCCCACAUACAACAUGUUCCAUUACUAUGUACAACUAGCAUGUUAAUUUAAAAACCUAACAGGCAGUAUGGUUUUUGGAUGCUAUUUCUCAAGUCUCUACCAAGCAGGUGCCUAAGAUUAUGCUAAAUUUAAAAGAAUCACCAUGACAUAAUAUUGUUAACUAGUCAUUAAAAGCUUUCACUAAAAAAAAAAACAAUAGAAAUUAUGAUAAAUUGUUACCAUAUUGAGAAUCUGGGAAACAGAUAUGUAGAAAUCUGUUGAACUGUUGCAGCUCUCCUGUAAGUCUAAAGUAAUAGUUCAUACAGGUGACAUGCAACUGGGCAGCCUCUCCCCCGAAUAUACCAUUCAUUUAUUAGAACAAUAUGAUCUUCCGUUGAGAUGCUGUAGUUCACCGAUAAAACAAAGUUAUAAUUGUAUUCACUGAUCAAAUUGAACAAAUUCUCAAUCAAUCCAAACAAGGUUUCUCCACCUCCCCCUUUCCCUUUCCCUUAAAUUUGCAAGCAGUGCUUAGGUUUUUACUUUUGUGGUUUGUUUUUUAAGAGUAUCAGAACCUCUGUUGGAAGGGUUCACAGAGAACAUGCCCAUGCAAAUAGGUAUGAGAACCCUAUGUCAUCUGGUGCUAUGCCCCAUCCCUUCACGGGUUUCAAGAGAGCCUGUGUGAGAACACGAGACGCCUGUGGAUUUGGCUCAGAGCUCCCAGCAUGGAUGAUGAGCAGGCACUCUGUGCUCCCUGAACACAACACAGUAUGAAGAUGUAGGCUUCCAGAUGAUCCACUGGCCAUCCUAAAAUUGGGCCAGACGCUGUUCUUAAAAUUUGUGUACAAGUAAGAAAGGUCUUGAGAGGACUAAGAGUGUAGCUCAGUGGCAGAAUGCAAGGUUAUCAUGCAGAAGGCAAUCUGUUGAGGUCCUAGCUACAACCCCCGUUAAUAUGUUUUAUAUAUUUAAAACAAUGUUACAAUAGAAUUUUAGAAGGUGGAAUUGUGUGACCCUGUUUGUGAAAUUACAGUGAUUAUAGCUUCAUUUUUUUCCAACUUAAUGUGUCUAACAACUACAAACCUUAAACUGCUUAUUCUUAAAUUAGAAAUUUACUCUGUUAAAUAAAUAAGAAUGAUUUGAAUUCACAUUUUUAUAGGCUGUUUUAUAGAAUUUAAAAUGCAAGAGGGAGAGCAAUGGCCACCUCAUAUUAACAGAUCUAAGUAAUGCCUCGAGCAUUAGAAUCCUGUAAUUGUGUAAUUUUAAUUCAGGCACAAAAUUCUAAUCUGAUUUAUGGUUCCACUCUUAGCACCUUGUUUCAACCCAGAGUGUCCCCUUUAUUAUCUGUCCGUGCCCUACGUAGUACACUAACACUUUCAAACUGGCCAUCAAACUGCCUCCGUCAGCCAUCAUCUGCCCAAACUGUUGCUCUGGGCUCUUGGAUGGCUUCAAGGUCCUGUGCAUAGUCUCUGGGCUCUUGGAUGGCUUCAAGGUCCUAUGCAUAAACCCUUUUGUAUAACUCGGAAGUUACUUCAUGGCUGCUACUCUCCUGCCCUGCAAAAUAUUCUCUGUGCUAACAGCUGGGAAACUCUCCAUUGCCUGGGCAUCAAAAUCAAGUGGACAGCUUAAUAAAAAUACCUAUGUGCCCCACCCCCACCCCUAUCCAGAACUAAGCUACUUACAAUUGGCAGGGGCAGGGAAGGGAUGGCUGGUUUGCAUGAGAAUGGCCUCAUUAGGCUCCUGCUUUUGACUGCUUGGUCCUGUGGGUAGAGAUGUUUGAGAAGGAGUAGAAGUGUGAUCUUGUUGCAUGUGGUUUGUCACUGGUGGUGAGCUUUGAGGUUUUAAAGGCCUAUACCGCUCCAGUUGGCUCUCCCGCCGCCAUCUCCUGUUGGUUCUAAGCUCCUAGCUACUGUUCCAGUGCCAUGCCUGCCUGCUGCUGCCCUGCUUCCUGCCAUGAUGGUCUACUCACCCUCUGGAACUGUAAGACCCAGUAAACUCUUCUGUAACUUGCCUUGGUUAUGGUAUCUCUUCACAGAAAUAGAAAAGUAACUAAGACAGAGGGAGAAAAUCGGUUUUCUUCAAAGACAUGACCCUUGAGAAACAUAGGUCUACCAUGUUCCAGAUAGCCACACACCAAAAAGUUUGGGCUUCAGGCUCAAUGGAUUG